CCUACGGGAGGCAGCAGUGAGGAAUAUUGGUCAAUGGCCGCAGGGCUGAACCAGCCAAGUCGCGUGAGGGAUGACGGUCCUAUGGAUUGUAAACCUCUUUUGUCAGGGAGCAAAGGGCGCCACGUGUGGCGCUUUGCGAGUACCUGAAGAAAAAGCAUCGGCUAACUCCGUGCCAGCAGCCGCGGUAAUACGGAGGAUGCGAGCGUUAUCCGGAUUUAUUGGGUUUAAAGGGUGCGCAGGCGGAAUGUCAAGUCAGCGGUAAAAUUUCGGGGCUCAACCCCGUUGUGCCGUUGAAACUGGCGUUCUUGAGUGAGCGAGAAGUAUGCGGAAUGCGUGGUGUAGCGGUGAAAUGCAUAGAUAUCACGCAGAACUCCGAUUGCGAAGGCAGCAUACCGGCGCUCAACUGACGCUCAUGCACGAAAGCGUGGGUAUCGAACAGGAUUAGAUACCCCAGUAGUC
rnacentral:rRNA from 1 species